rnacentral:lncRNA from 1 species
GUGUAAUAAUAUGGGUCUGGCUAACAUGCUGAAUGCUUUAAUGCUCAUGAAGGAGCCUCCAGUAGUGAUGUAUGAGUUCACUGAGGAACUUUUACCUUCACUCAAAAUGUUUGAAAACGUUCAGGAGCGCAGUGGGACAGAGAGGCCGAGUGGACUGCUUCCAGUGGCACAGAGAGGUCUGGAGCUGGUUCUAACUUAUGGAUUGAGACUGGAUGAGAAGUUGAGCAAAAUGUGGAGGACUUUGUGGUGCCAGAUUGACCUUCAGACUGGCUAUAUGUGUGUUUGUGGGCUGCAGUUGCUGUGGAG